ensembl:lncRNA
GGGAACAACAACAAAAAUGCCCUGCCUGGUGUUUUGGGAAAGCUGGUAAAAUAGUCUGAGAUGAUUUUUUUUCAAAGCAGGGUAAUGAUGACGAUGCAUAAUGCUACGGCUAGUAUUUAUGCUAUGGAGCACUCUUCAUCUCCAGGGCAGAUAAAAGGCCUUAGUAGAUUGAUCUUCAGAGCACCCCCUGUGAGCGAGUGUCAUGCAGCCGAGAUCUCUCGCUUUAGCACACCUGCACACAUAUUGACUGCAGAAAGAAUUAGGCCAUGCUCUCCCACCAGUUGCUGUGGCAAAACCCAGGCAUGGAUUUACCAGAGAGACCACAUGGAGUCUGUCCUUCCUCCUGGCAUCCCUGCAGUUCUAUGAGAGCACAUCUACCCAUGGCGGAGUGCACCAAGAGGUCCCCUUGGCACGUAACCCCUCUUCUUACCCUCAUUCUCCUCUCUCUUUUGCCCCAUCUCCUGCUCACACCCUUCUGGGAUGAAACAAGAAGCACUGACAAUAUUGAGAAUGUCAGCCUCCAUGCAUGUGGGAACUGUUAGCUCACAGACUGCAAGCCCUGAAGACACCACUGCCAUCAUCUAGUUUGCCCUGCUGCCUAGCACAAGGUGUAAGACUUUCAGCCAAUAAUUUCUCUGAUAAGCUCAACAGCCUGCAUUGAGCUGAGGUUCCAG